rnacentral:rRNA from 1 species
UACGUAGGGGGCAAGCGUUGUCCGGAAUUAUUGGGCGUAAAGAGCGUGUAGGCGGUCCGGUAAGUCAGCUGUGAAAGUCAAGGGCUCAACCCUUGAAAGCCGGUUGAUACUGUCGGGCUAGAGUCCGGAAGAGGCGAGUGGAAUUCCCGGUGUAGCGGUGAAAUGCGCAGAUAUCAGGAGGAACACCGGUGGCGAAGGCGGCAUCCUGGACCGGCAUUGACGCUGAGGCGCGAAAGCCAGGGGAGCAAACGGG